AAGCGCCGUCGGACAACACGCUCCGCCUCCCGUUCUUCAUCCUGGUCUCGCUCUCCUUCUCCUCCUCGCCCCUUCUCCUACUACACCCCUUCCUCCUCUACUCGCCGACCUCGAUCCAGGGAACGAUCCCGCGAACGUCGACACGACACCACCACCCGGCGUUCCCGGUCUCCGGGUUCACUUCGGGGCAGGGAGAGAGAACGUGACCCUCCGACCUCGUCGUCUUCCCACCGGGAUCAGGAACGUCGACCUCAGACAGCCUCUUCAUCCCGGAGGUCGCGCUCUAGGAGCUAUGAGCGGGAGAGAGCGAGGGAACGUCGGGAGACGACGAGGAGGAGCAGCCUGCCGAAGUCUAACAGUGCUGAGAGACUGGCCAAGAAACUACUGGAGUCAUCUGCUGGCCUCUCCCUGACGGAGAACACCAGUCUGGAAGUUAUGAUGCAGUCCUCGCCCC